CCUACGGGAGGCAGCAGUGGGGAAUCUUGCGCAAUGGGCGAAAGCCUGACGCAGCAACGCCGCGUGCGGGAAGAAGGCUUUCGGGCUGUAAACCGCUUUCAGCAGGAACGAAAAUGACGGUACCUGCAGAAGAAGGAGCGGCCAACUAUGUGCCAGCAGCCGCGGUGAUACAUAGGCUUCAAGCGUUGUCCGGAUUUAUUGGGCGUAAAGAGUUCGUAGGCGGUCGAGUAAGUCGGGUGUGAAAAUUCUGGGCUCAACCCAGAGACGCCACCCGAUACUGCUUGACUUGAGUUCGAUAGGGGAGUGGGGAAUUCCUAGUGUAGCGGUGAAAUGCGCAGAUAUUAGGAGGAACACCGGUGGCGAAGGCGCCACUCUGGAUCGAUACUGACGCUGAGGAACGAAAGCAUGGGUAGCAAACAGGAUUAGAUACCCUGGUAGUCCAUGCCGUAAACGGUGGGCACUAGGUGUGGGUUUCUAUUAACGAAAUCCGCGCCGUCGCUAACGCAUUAAGUGCCCCGCCUGGGGAGGUACGGUCGCGAGACGUAAACGUACGAAGAAGUAAGUACGGCGUUGAGACGUUGCCGAACGGCGACGACGAGGGAGGAGG
rnacentral:rRNA from 1 species